rnacentral:sRNA from 3 species
AUCACACCCUCGUCCAUUGCGGUUCCUGUGCGCCAUCCGCGCCCAUCUGCCGACUGCUCGCGACGUCUUGUUUGCC